GGGCGUGUGGUCUAGUGGUAUGAUUCUCGCUUUGGGUUGUGUUCUCAGCUUUCUGGAUCCAAAACAAAUAUGCGAGAGGCCCUGGGUUCAAUUCCCAGUAUGCCCC
rfam:Metschnikowia bicuspidata var. bicuspidata NRRL YB-4993 METBIscaffold_1, whole genome shotgun sequence.